rnacentral:rRNA from 1 species
GAGUUUGAUCCUGGCUCAGAACGUACGCUGGCGGCACGCCUAACACAUGCAAGUCGAACGAAGUAGCAAUACUUAGUGGCAGACGGGUGAGUAACAUGUGGGUAUCUACCCUUUGGCCUGGAAUAACACGAGGAAACUUGUGCUAAUACCGGAUAAGUCUUUACGGAGAAAGCUUUAUGCACCAUUGGAUGAGCCCGCACUUGAUUAGUUUGUUGGUAGGGUAAUGGCCUACCAAGACUAUGAUCAAUAGCUGAUUUGAGAGGAUGAUCAGCCACAUUGGGACUGAGACACGGCCCAAACUCCUACGGGAGGCAGCAGUGGGGAAUCUUGCACAAUGGAGGAAACUCUGAUGCAGCGAUGCCGCGUGAGUGAAGAAGGCCCUUGGGUUGUAAAGCUCUUUCGUCGGGGAAGAAAAUGACUGUACCCGAAUAAGAAGGUCCGGCUAACUUCGUGCCAGCAGCCGCGGUAAUACGAAGGGACCUAGCGUAGUUCGGAAUUACUGGGCUUAAAGAGUUCGUAGGUGGUUGAAAAAGUUGGUGGUGAAAUCCCAGAGCUUAACUCUGGAACUGCCAUCAAAACUUUUCAGCUAGAGUAUGAUAGAGGAAAGCAGAAUUUCUAGUGUAGAGGUGAAAUUCGUAGAUAUUAGAAAGAAUACCAAUUGCGAAGGCAGCUUUCUGGAUCAUUACUGACACUGAGGAACGAAAGCAUGGGUAGCGAAGAGGAUUAGAUACCCUCGUAGUCCAUGCCGUAAACGAUGUGUGUUAGACGUUGGAAAUUUAUUUUCAGUGUCGCAGGAAACCGAUAAACACACCGCCUGGGGAGUACGACCGCAAGGUUAAAACUCAAAUGAAUUGACGGGGA